rnacentral:lncRNA from 1 species
UCGAUCUUGUAUUGCAAGUGUGACAUGUGUGGAGAAGAACCCCUUAAGCUAUUCCAUCAUCCAUAUUUUUCAUUGCAUUCAUAUUUACAUUUUGCCCUUAAUUAUAAUCUGUCCAUUUAAUUUAAUCUCGUCAAAAACAACUCAAUUUCCCCCCCCAUAUUUUGUUAAAGUCUUAGUCGUUCAAAUCUAUCUUAUUUUAUGCUUUUAAGUAUUUGGAGUCUUUUGAACUUGUUUUGAGUCUUUUGGUUUGUCUUAGUGUUUUAAAAGUUAGUUUUAUUUAUUUGAGUCAAGUGUUUAGCACCCCUAGUUAAUCCCCGGUUAGAACGAUCCCUACUUACAUCAUUACUACAAUUGUCACAAAUAGGGUUUAAUUUGUGUGUCAAGUAAUUUUCGCAUCACCAACCACAUCACCAAUCUCAGCUCUGUCGAUUCCAAUCCUUCAGAAACCGAUAUCGAACAGAUGCGAUGCUCGGAAUUAAAUUAGGCUCCUCAACCCUCCGUCCGCCGCCGACCCAAUCCUCCUCUGCCAACCGCCGCAAUCAGAAUCGAAUUUCACAAAUCUCGGUGAAAUUAAAGAAAGCCCUCUCUCUGCGCUUAUCAAUGCAAAGCGUUCGAAUUUCAGGAAGAGUCUGAGAGAAUCCGAAAACCUUGGUUGAAAACUCGAUCGGACCGGAUGAUUUGAUUCGCCGAUUGAUUGGGUUGCACGAACUCCAAGAAAGCUUCUGACACAUCGAAAUCGAGAAAAUCAGAUUCCGUCGGAGAGAAUUCCCCGUGAAAUUGUGAAAGUGGCAGCGAUCUACAGGCCCUAGGGUGAGUUUUGUAGGCUGAUGAUCAUGACGAACCGCCGGACUGCUAGGGUUUGCUUUUGGGAAAUUUCAUAGCGCCACAGAGACCACGAGAGACAGACAAGAGAGAGCCAAAGUAUGUGAGAGAGGGGAUCUCAGCCUAGGAAUUGGCCUCUGUGGGCCGAGAAUAGCUGGGAGAAGAAGACAAGUCGAAGCCUGGGCCUGGAUUUGUGGCUGGGCUCAUUGGUUUUGGAGAGAUGGGUUGUCAAGUUAAGAGAACAACUUGGCCUUUUCAUGGGAUCCGAUGG